UACAGAGGUCUCAAGCGUUGUUCGGAUUCAUUGGGCGUAAAGGGUGCGUAGGCGGCGCGGUAAGUCGGGUGUGAAAUUUCGAGGCUUAACUUCGAAACUGCAUUCGAUACUGCCGUGCUCGAGGACUGGAGAGGAGACUGGAAUUUACGGUGUAGCGGUGAAAUGCGUAGAUAUCGUAAGGAAGACCAGUGGCGAAGGCGGGUCUCUGGACAGUUCCUGACGCUGAGGCACGAAGGCCAGGGGAGCAAACGGG
rnacentral:rRNA from 1 species